rnacentral:rRNA from 1 species
GUGGGGAAUUUUGGACAAUGGGGGCAACCCUGAUCCAGCCAUGCCGCGUGUGUGAAGAAGGUCUUCGGAUUGUAAAGCACUUUAAGUUGGGAGGAAGGGCAGUAAGUUAAUACCUUGCUGUUUUGACGUUACCAACAGAAUAAGCACCGGCUAACUUCGUGCCAGCAGCCGCGGUAAUACGAAGGGUGCAAGCGUUAAUCGGAAUUACUGGGCGUAAAGCGCGCGUAGGUGGUUCAGCAAGUUGAAGGUGAAAUCCCCGGGCUCAACCUGGGAACUGCCUCCAAAACUACUGAGCUAGAGUACGGUAGAGGGUAGUGGAAUUUCCUGUGUAGCGGUGAAAUGCGUAGAUAUAGGAAGGAACACCAGUGGCGAAGGCGACUACCUGGACUGAUACUGACACUGAGGUGCGAAAGCGUGGGGAGCAAACAGGAUUAGAUACCCGUGUAGUCC